rnacentral:rRNA from 1 species
UACGGGGGGGGGCAAGCGUUGUUCGGAAUUACUGGGCGUAAAGGGCGCGUAGGCGGCCUGAUAAGUAGGGGGUGAAAUCCUGCGGCUUAACCGCAGGGCUGCCUUCUAAACUGUCAGGCUCGAGCACAGUAGAGGCAGGUGGAAUUCCCGGUGUAGCGGUGGAAUGCGUAGAGAUCGGGAAGAACAUCAGUGGCGAAGGCGGCCUGCUGGGCUGUUGCUGACGCUGAGGCGCGAAAGCUAGGGUAGCAAACGGG